rnacentral:lncRNA from 1 species
GCUUUUUCAUAAAUUUUAACAUGUUUAAAUGUCUUUUUCUUUUUCUUCAUCUUUUUGAAACCCUGGUUUUGUAUUACCACUGACCAGUUCAGUAAAGAAACAGCUGCUUCAUGUUUGCAUAAAUGUGUUUGUAACCAAUCUAACAUGCUAUUAUUUCCUUAUUUUUUAUUCCGUGUCUAUAGAUAGUCUUGAUCGGGGACGCAAG